GGGUGCUUUUCUGUCGCUGCUAACGACGGGUUGAAUACUUGAUUUUAUUCAGCACCCU
rnacentral:tRNA from 1 species